rnacentral:rRNA from 1 species
UUUGACUCAAAUCAGGUAGGACUACCCGCUGAACUUAAGCAUAUCAAAG